AUUACACAGCACGUAACUUCCGCUCUUUCCUCUCCCUUCAACCAGUGCUACAUUGCAAAGAUGAAGGCUUCCCAAGGGAAAAGACGGCGAAACAAGAUGAAAUGGACAAAUGCUACCGUUUGCCCCAGGGAUGAAAAAGGCUACUUUGUCCUUAAAAUAAGCUGAUGGCCGUGUUGUGAUAGCAAUGACUCUCCAUGGUAACUAAAGUGCUACAUCCAGCAGUUUACUGGCUGUGGGCAGGAAAGGCCAUGUGUCAAGCGUGAUGGCAGUGGUUUGAGCUGCUGAUAAUGGCCCGUGGCUCCCUUUCAGUGAUUUGGACUCAUGAUGAUGAGCGAAGACUGUCCCUCCCUCCCUCCUUCCCUCCCUCUCUCCCUCCCUCCCCCAGAGGUGACUAAGAUUCAUCAUUUGGACAGUUUUAUUAGGAGGCUAGAGUAUUCAAAUCGAAACGUGUGACUAUGAUGUCUCAUCUGAAUGUUAUUCAAUUAAAUGUGUUUUGAUGAACUCUGCUUUCAUUACUGCAAAUAUUAGCUGACUCACUACGGCGCCCCCUGUCGGCAGUUACUUGAUCUUAACCUGUCAAUUGCGUAUCACUCCAAACUGGUGCCAAUUGGAUUCAAUUUAAGAGGGAACAGCAAAAGGUGACCAUGCUGGCACAAUGAAUCAAAUAUUAACAAAGUGGAAGCCAUGUUGAGCAUUUUUUGAGGGAGGCUGUCCAGACAGAUCAUGUCCUAGUUAGUUUCGACUUUGAUCAUUUCUUCCGCAAGCGGGAUCUCAUCCUCGUUGACGUCCUCCAUAAACUGAUGUGUCGGCACAUUGAGUAGCGACGGGAGGCUGCAGCCCUUCAGGAGGCCGUCUUUGCGAUUGUCCAGUGAGGAGCCUUGCAGAGGGAACGUAUCAGUAGGUCGUUCCAGCUCGAGAUCCUCCAAGCUCAUCCUGCAAAUGUUGAUAAAUGACACGAUACAGUACUGAUUUGGCCAAGAUUGUAUUAGCUACGGAUUGGGACAGAGAAUGUGAUACUUGACCAACGCUAGCGAUAAUGACGGUCUGACGAAGACGGACCUCAUAUCAAAGGUGGAGCCUUUGAAAGCUGGUCUGAGGCCAUCUGCUGCAGUGGACACAGUGUAAGGGAUGGAAAAAUGUUGUUGGGCCCAGUGCUUGUCUUUCUCCAGGGGUGCAAGGUUCUGGUACAUGUCAUCCACAGCCAGCAUUGACACCUUGACAACAAUCACAAUAUCAGUACUGUAAGGUGGGAAAAAACAACCGAGCGAGCACCUGAAUGUUUCUGUCAAUCAGCUGGUUGGUCUCAAAGUCGUCGUCAUCCUCUCCAAACGGGUUGAUGAUCAGCUCUCCCACUUUGAGCCAUCCGGCAUAGAAGAAGAACUGCAGCAGCGUGAAGACGGGCACGUACAGGUCCAGCUUGUGGUCCUUGUAGCCUUUUUCCGGGCUCAGGAACUGACGGCCGACGACGCACAAAGCGAAGAAGGAGUAAACGGCCAACGUCACCACCUGUGUUCAUGAGACGGUUGAGCAAAUAGAAGGCGAUGGAAGGAGGAGGUGUGGCUGACUCAGGUACCUGAGUGUAGACCAGAGGGAUGCUGAUCCAGUCAUAAUGGAACAAGAGACUGCAUUUGGCCCUGUAGUUAUUCAGCUCCUGGAAGGACAGUCAAACUGUAGAGCAAUGUUCCCAAAGUUGGUCAAUGAUGUGAAGGCAAAGUUAGUCACAUCCAUGAGGAGUCUCAAAGCAAUGUCGUCCCUCACGCGGGUCUCCUCUCUCGCUCUGGAUGCUAGAUUGGCGAACCAGGUGAGCGGCAUCCAAUACUUGUUGAAGUCCGAAUGCAGCGACUCCAAAAUCUUCAGCUCGUGUGAUGUCAUAAAGCCUGAAAACAAAUAUUCACAUUUGGUUUUGUUUUUCUUUCUUCCAGAUCGAUCCCAGUUGAUAGAUGGAUGUUACCUACCGGCCUCCACCACGUGCUCCAGCGUGGGGAAGCGCUUGCGCACUCUGGUGCUGACAGAGCGCAGGAUCAGUACUGACGCCAGGUUGGCAUAUCGCAUGAGAGUGCGCCGCAACAUGCGGCCCCUCUCGUCGGCUCCGUGGACGUUCCCGGAGACCACCAUCAUCAGGUUGUCGGGCAGCGGGAAGCUGGUGUAUUGACCCCACCAACGAUUGAACGCCAACGUUACGUAGAAGCCUGUCCAUGCCAAAGCUUCACUUCUCUCUUCUGCUGUAAAUCUGCCUCACUUUGCUUUUAUGACAUCUCCUUUUCCUGUGACAAAUGGUAUUCUUUUCUAUUAUCGUGCAUCACAAAAGUGAAGGUGAAAUGUAAAUGCAAGAGACAAACACUCCUCUUCACACAUUUAUUGUAAAAAAUACAUAUAAAAACCAUUUCUGAGACAUACAAAAGAUUGGAGCUUUAGAAACAGUAUAUCCAACAGACAAAGACCAGCCGUUUUUUUCCACUGCAUUACAUAUUUACAAUUCAAUAAAUAAUAUGAUGCCUCUGCUGUGUGUGUGUGUGUGUACGCACGCGUGCCGCGCAUGCGUACUUGUGUGUUUUUUAAAGAUUGUCCAUAUAUGCUGUGAUGAAAGCUCUGGUGUCUGUAGAUCUGGGGGUCUAUUUAUACAAAAUCCCAUCUUUUGUCGAGUUCUCCCUCCCUCCACGCACAGAGCAAGCUUUUAUAAUUAGCAUUGGUAUAAAUUUGAGGUAUUGCACCACACGGUUUGAGAGGGAAUUAAUUGAGUGGGCUUGGGAAAGUGCCCGCCCACUUUU